rnacentral:tRNA from 1 species
GGAUGUAGUUCAAUGAUAGAGCACAUGUCUAACAUACAUAGGCCCUGAGUUCAAUCUUCAGCAUCAGCA